rnacentral:rRNA from 1 species
AUUGAACGCUGGCGGCAUGCCUUACACAUGCAAGUCGAACGGCAGCACGGGAGCAAUCCUGGUGGCGAGUGGCGAACGGGUGAGUAAUAUAUCGGAACGUGCCCAGUCGUGGGGGAUAACGUAGCGAAAGCUACGCUAAUACCGCGUACGAUCUAUGGAUGAAAGCGGGGGAUCGCAAGACCUCGCGCGAUUGGAGUGGCCGAUAUCAGAUUAGGUAGUUGGUGGGGUAAAGGCUCACCAAGCCGACGAUCUGUAGCUGGUCUGAGAGGACGACCAGCCACACUGGAACUGAGACACGGUCCAGACUCCUACGGGAGGCAGCAGUGGGGAAUUUUGGACAAUGGGCGCAAGCCUGAUCCAGCAAUGCCGCGUGCAGGAUGAAGGCCUUCGGGUUGUAAACUGCUUUUGUACGGAGCGAAAAAGUCUUUUUUAAUACAAAGGACUCAUGACGGUACCGUAAGAAUAAGCACCGGCUAACUACGUGCCAGCAGCCGCCGUAA